rnacentral:rRNA from 1 species
GCCUUUUAAGUUGGAUGUGAAAGCCUACGGCUUAACCGUAGAACUGCAUCCAAAACUAUUGGGCUAGAGUGUGGGAGAGGAAGAUGGAAUUAGUUGUGUAGGGGUAAAAUCCGUAGAGAUAACUAGGAAUACCAAAAGCGAAGGCAAUCUUCUGGAACACUACUGACGCUGAGGCGCGAAAGCGUGGGGAGCAAACAGGAUUAGAUACCCUGGUAGUCCACGCAGUAAACGAUGAAUGUUAGUCGUCGGGGCUCUCGUAGUUUCGGUGAUGCAGCUAACGCAUUAAACAUUCCGCCUGGGGAGUACGGUCGCAAGAUUAAAACUCAAAGGAAUAGACGGGGACCCGCACAAGUGGUGGAGCAUGUGGUUUAAUUCGAAGAUACGCGAAGAACCUUACCUGGCCUUGACAUUGAGAGAAUCCUUUAGAGAUAGAGGAGUGCCUUCGGGAGCUCGAAAACAGGUGCUGCACGGCUGUCGUCAGCUCGUGUCGUGAGAUGUUGGGUUAAGUCCCGCAACGAGCGCAACCCUCGUCACUAGUUACUAACGGUUCGGCCGAGGACUCUAGUGAGACUGCC